UGUGCUUCUUCCUGCCAUCCCACCUUGGUUUCUCCCUCAGCCAGUGGUAGGUCUAGGGUUGUUUGGGAGGGAGUUUAGCCCCUCUGUGCUUCUUCCUGCUAUCCCACCUUGGUUUCUCCCUCAGCCAGUGGUAGGUCUAGGGUUGUUUGGGAGGGAGUUUAGCCCCUCUGUGCUUCUUCCUGCUAUCCCACCUUGGUUUCUCCCUCAGCCAGUGGUAGGUCUAGGGUUGUUUGGGAGGGAGUUUAGCCCCUCUGUGGUUCUUCCUGCUAUCCCACCUUGGUUUCUCCCUCAGCCAGUGGUAGGUCUAGGGUUGCUUGAGAAGGUAAGAGAUGUUGAGGAAGGAGUAGAUUCAGUUGUAAGGGAACAUUUAAGAACACAAUACUAUGCUUUCUUGAAUAAAUUCACAGAUGGAUCUAAGGACCCUAAAACAGGAAGGACAGGAGCAGCUUUUAAGUGUUCCUGAGUUUAAGGUGGCUGUGACGAAAAGAGCAACGGAUCAUUUAUCUGUUUACACAAUAGAGUUGUUGGCCAUACUAUUGGCUGCAGAGUGGGUGGAGGUGGUGUAAUCUGCUCUGACUCCUGUGCAGCACGGGUGAGGUUUUGCAGUGCUUGUAUAGGGUGAAAGAGACAGCGUAUUUGUGAUCUUCCUCUGGGUACCAGCUCACUUGAGAUAGAGGGGAAUGAGGUGGUGGAUGUUAUAAACAAGCAGGCUCUUAAACAUCCUAAUGUUGAGAUAAAAUUGUCAGUCAGCCGAUGCCACAAAGUGCUGUACAGAAACCCAGCCUAAAACCCCAAACAGCGAGCAAUGCAGAUGUAGAAGCACAGUGGCUAGGAAAAACUCUGUAGAAAUACCAGAACCUAGGAAUAAACCUAGAGAGGAACCAGGCUAUGAGAGGUGGCCAGUCCUCUUCUGGCUGUGCCGGGUGGAGAUUAUAACAGAACAUGGCCAAGAUGUUCAAACCUUCAUAGAUGACCAGCAGGGUCAGAUAAUAAUCACAGUGGUUGUAGAGGGUGCAAUAGGUCAGCAUCUCAGGAGUAAAUGUCAGUUGGCUUUUCAUAGCCGAUCAUUCAGAGUUAGAGACAGCAGGUGCAGUAGAGAGAGAGUCUAAAACAGCAGCUCCAGGACAAGGCAGCACGUCCGGUGAACAGUCCAUGGCUCCACAGCCGCAGGCAGAACAGCCAAAACCAGAGCAGCAGCAUGACCAGGUGAACUGGGGACAGCAAGGAGUCAUCAGGCCAGGUAGUCCUGAGGCAUGGUCCUAGGGCACAGGUUCUGCGAGAGUUGAGAGAGAGAAGGAGAUGAUCAUUGUCAAGAGGAGAUGGAGACAGUGGAACAUGUUCUAUUUCAGUGCCAGAAAUAUGUGAGAGAAAGGGAGUGAUUGUUAUUAGAUUUUGG
ensembl:lncRNA